rnacentral:misc_RNA from 1 species
AGCAGCCGCGGUAAUUCCAGCUCCAAUAGCGUAUAUUAAAGUUGUUGCAGUUAAAAAGCUCGUAGUUGAAUUUCGGGAUCAAAGGAUCGGUCAUGCCUUGGUAUGUACUGGUUUUAUUGGUUCUCACCUUCUAAAGAACCAUAAUGUCAUUCAUUUGAUGUUAUGGGGAAUUAGGACUGUUACCUUAAAAAAUUAGAGUGUUUAAAGCAGGCUUACGCUUGAAUACAUUAGCAUGGAAUAAUGAAAUAGGACAUCAGAUUCUAUUUUGUUGGUUUCUAGGAUCGAUGUAAUGAUUAAUAGGGAUAGUUGGGGGCAUUAGUAUUCAAUUGUCAGAGGUGAAAUUCUUGGAUUUAUUGAAGACUAACUACUGCGAAAGCAUUUGCCAAGGAUGUUUUCAUUAAUCAAGAACGAAGGUUAGGGGGUCGAAGACGAUCAGAUACCGUCGUAGUCUUAACCAUAAACUAUGCCGACUAGGGAUCGGAUGAUGUUAAUUUUAUAAUGACUCAUUCGGCACCUUACG